GCCCAUAAUGGUUCAGUGGUUUGAGUGCUGGCCUAUGACUCUGUAGACCUGGGUUCAAUUUCCCGUUUGGGUU